CGUGGUCCUCAUCUUUGCUGUGGCGCUUGCUGUCUUCUUACUGCAUCGCCAGCAGCAGAAGAACCGGCUGGAGACAGACAGCGGCGGGACGGCCCUGCCCUCCUCCCAGAAGCUGGAGCCUUCUCCCGACAGGCAUAGCCACCGUGCACCUGAGGACAUCCAGAUUCUCCACCUGGAGCCGGGGAAGCCCCCGCAGCCGCUGGAGCAGGAAGAGAUAGAGCAGCUGCCCCUUCAGACCCCCUACUAUGAUCUGAGCACCUCCCCCUCCUACCGCCCCUCGGGCUCUCACCUAAAGGACACAGACAUCCACUAUGCAGAGCUGGAGACCUCCGCCCUGGAGCUCGGGUCAGAGUCACGGACCACCGUGUCGGGGCCCAGAGAGGCUGUGGAAUACGCCACCAUCCAGCUGAGCCCACCCUAGCACAGGACCCGUAGCCACCCAGCCCCACCUCCGGACUACAGCCCACUGCCGUGUCAUGAAGAUACCCAAGCAAGCCCAUGAAGACUGCACAUGGAAAGGAAUGAGCCCUCCCAUCAACAGCCAGCACCAACUCGCCAGCCACGUAAGCGCACCACGCCAGAAGCAGAGCGGCAGAGCCAGUGAGGCCCUAGGGGAACCCCAGCCACUGGGCUUUUCAGCUGUGGUUGCAGUAGUCACCGAGCGAGAAAAGCUUCACCUGCUUGGCUUCCCUGGAUUCCUAAUGUACAGAAACCAUGAAAGAUAACCAAAGCCAUUGGUGCGCCAGGCCACCCGUGCUGAUAUCAUCUGUUGCGCGGCGGCAAAGAACUAACACAGCUCCGAAGCCCUACCUCUACUGAGAGCAGAGAUCAUUUCCUCUCGCCAAGGAAAGGCAAUCGAGUCGCUUCCCUUUUAAAAGUUAAGUCUCUUUAGGGUCAAAAGGCAGUUGGUUCCAGACUCAAAGUUCAACGUCCCUAUUGGGGCUUCUGGUUUUCUCUACCCUUGGUCCUCUCCGGGAUGCCUACGUCUAUGUAACCCUGAGGGCUAGCUCGCUGUCCGUGGUCCUCAGGCAGCCAUUUCAACCUUUGCCACUAAAGUCGCUGUGGGUGGGGUGACCUGCGAUGACGCAGGUGCUCCUCUCCUGCUAGCCCUGACUUCUCCCACCAGCCCUCCUCUGGCAGGCUGGGGGCACUCUGGAUUUCCUGGAUGCCAGCCACAGGCCAGAAACCAGCAGGGGCAGCAGCGGGAAGGCAUCUCAGGCCCUCUCGUUCUAGAAGGUCCCCUCCUGCUCUGCGUUGUCUAUCCCCUGCCAGUGCACGAUGUUCUGACAGUUCCAAAGGGGCGGGGACAGAGGGCAUGAAUUGCCUUGGGCAGGGUAGGCUCACCCCGUGGCCUCUAUCACCCCCUGGCAUUCUGGUUCCUAAGUGAAAGCUGGGGGCAGGGGGGACAGACAAGAAGCUCAACUGCUCCUUCUAAACUCUGGCUCUCCACCUCUUUGGGCUCUGCAGCUUCCUAGGAAGGAGUGCUAUCCUGUGUGUUCGGCAACUACCCUCAAGUCCUUGCCCUGUGUUUUCAUUCACACAUUCAUUUAGUCCUUUAUUUCCAGAUGCUCCUUGAUCACUACUCUGUGCCAAGCAUUUGCUUGAUGCCAGAGACACAGGAAAAAACCCACUACUCAUGGAGCGAGCAAUUAAGAGGGACCAACAUACCCAAAUAAUGAUAGUAAAGCCUUGCAUAUAAAGCACAAAAAUCAGUGUGUGCAGGCUUGGAUACAGCAGGAAAGAGGAAAUGAUCACCUCUCCCAGGAAGCCUCAGGACGAGGGAGGCUAGGUCUCCCCAAGCCCACAAAAUGUCAACAGAGCUUCCCCUAGAGAACAGCACCCAAGAUAACCUGGACUAGAGUAGCCACAGUGAAAGAGAGAAGUCACAAGACUGAUUUAAAGAGAGAGAGGCACUGUUACAAGGCACAGCAGUAGGCAAUUCACAGGAGCACAUCUGUAACCUGGGGAAAACCCCAAGACCCCUUUAAGAGGCUGCUCAGUGUAUUAAAUGAGAUACAUCAAACACUCAACCCGGUGCUUCAUUUGCAGUGAGCUACUAUGUAAGCACAAUGUUAACUACUAUCCCUCAUUAAAGCUUCAAUCUAAUGUCAAAAGCCCCGAAUGAGAAUAAAGGUUCAGUCCUAUAGAUGUUUGCACAUGGAGAAAGGUUAAUUCAAUCGGUGCAUAAGCACCUA